rnacentral:misc_RNA from 1 species
UCCCGUUUGCUACGGGCAGUCUCGCUAGAGAAGUACAACUAGCGACAGGGGUUGCGCUCGUUGCGGGACUUAACCCAACACCUCACGGCACGAGCUGACGACAGCCGUGCAGCACCUCCACCCACGCCCCGAAGGGAAGCCCCCUUUCAGGGGCGGUCGUGGGCCGUUCAAGCCCAGGUAAGGUUCUUCGCGUCGCAUCGAAUUAAAGAACAUGCUCCGCUGCUUGUGCGGGCCCCCGUCAAUUCUUUUGAGUUUUAGCCUUGCGGCCGUACUCCCCAGGCGGAACACUUAACGCGUUGGCUGCGGCACAGAAGGAUUCGACUCCCCCCACACCUAGUGUUCAUCGUUUACGGCUAGGACUAC